rnacentral:miRNA from 14 species
UGGGGUCUCACCGGCCACUAUAUG